rnacentral:rRNA from 1 species
UGGGGAAUUUUGGACAAUGGGCGAAAGCCUGAUCCAGCCAUGCCGCGUGCAGGAUGAAGGCCUUCGGGUUGUAAACUGCUUUUGUACGGAACGAAAAGACUCCUUCUAAUAAAGGGGGUCCAUGACGGUACCGUAAGAAUAAGCACCGGCUAACUACGUGCCAGCAGCCGCGGUAAUACGUAGGGUGCGAGCGCUAAUCGGAAUUACUGGGCGUAAAGCGUGCGCAGGCGGUUAUAUAAGACAGUUGUGAAAUCCCCGGGCUCAACCUGGGAACUGCAUCUGUGACUGUAUAGCUAGAGUACGGUAGAGGGGGAUGGAAUUCCGCGUGUAGCAGUGAAAUGCGUAGAUAUGCGGAGGAACACCGAUGGCGAAGGCAAUCCCCUGGACCUGUACUGACGCUCAUGCACGAAAGCGUGGGGAGCAAACA